GAUGAACGCUGGCGGCGUGCCUAAUACAUGCAAGUCGAGCGAACAGACGAGGAGCUUGCUCCUCUGACGUUAGCGGCGGACGGGUGAGUAACACGUGGAUAACCUACCUAUAAGACUGGGAUAACUUCGGGAAACCGGAGCUAAUACCGGAUAAUAUAUUGAACCGCAUGGUUCAAUAGUGAAAGACGGUUUUGCUGUCACUUAUAGAUGGAUCCGCGCCGCAUUAGCUAGUUGGUAAGGUAACGGCUUACCAAGGCAACGAUGCGUAGCCGACCUGAGAGCGCGGGCGGGCAGCAGUGAGGUGAGACACGGGCGAGACUAGUGCUGGGGGCCGCAGAAGGGCAUUGUACGCAAUGGGCGGAAGCAUGAAGAAGCAAGGCAGCGAGAAAGAUAAAGGUGUUAGUAUCGUAUGACGCUGCUAAUGGUGAAGAACAAAAGGGCACGUCACAAUGCCCGUCAGGAGGGGGCCGAAUCAGAAAGACCAGCAUCGCUACGAG
rnacentral:rRNA from 1 species